rnacentral:rRNA from 1 species
GAUGAACGCUGGCGGCGUGCUUAACACAUGCAAGUCGAACGGAAAGGCCAGUGCUUGCACUGGUACUCGAGUGGCGAACGGGUGAGUAACACGUGGGUGAUCUGCCCUGUACUUCGGGAUAAGCUUGGGAAACUGGGUCUAAUACCGGAUAGGACAACUUUUUGGAUAUUGUUGUGGAAAGCUUUUGCGGUAUGGGAUGAGCUCGCGGCCUAUCAGCUUGUUGGUGGGGUAAUGGCCUACCAAGGCGUCGACGGGUAGCCGGCCUGAGAGGGUGUACGGCCACAUUGGGACUGAGAUACGGCCCAGACUCCUACGGGAGGCAGCAGUGGGGAAUAUUGCACAAUGGGCGCAAGCCUGAUGCAGCGACGCCGCGUGGGGGAUGAAGGCCUUCGGGUUGUAAACUCCUUUCGCUAGGGACGAAGCUUUUGUGACGGUACCUGGAGAAGAAGCACCGGCUAACUACGUGCCAGCAGCCGCGGUAAU